rnacentral:rRNA from 1 species
GGGCCCGCACAAGCGGUGGAGCAUGUGGUUUAAUUCGAUGAUACGCGAGGAACCUUACCAGGGCUUAAAUGGGAAAUGACAGGGGCAGAGACGCCCCCUUCUUCGGACAUUUUUCAAGGUGCUGCAUGGUUGUCGUCAGCUCGUGCCGUGAGGUGUCAGGUUAAGUCCUAUAACGAGCGCAACCCCUACCGUUAGUUGCCAGCGUGUAAUGACGGGGACUCUAACGGAACUGCCGGUGCAAACCGUGAGGAAGGUGGGGACGACGUCAAAUCAUCACGGCCCUUACGUCCUGGCCACACACGUGCUACAAUGGUAGGUACAGAGGGCAGCAAGUUCAGCGGGACAAGCAAA